UACAGAGACCUCAAGCGUUAUCCGGAAUCAUUGGGCGUAAAGCGUACCGAUAGGUGGUUAUACAAGUCAGAAGUGAAAUCUCCGAGCUCAACUCGGAAUCUGUCUUUUGAAACUGUAUGACUAGAGGGGCAAAGAGGAAGCUGGAACGAACGGUGUAGUAGUGAAAUGCGUUGAUAUCGUUCGGAACACCAAUAACGUAGGCAGGCUUCUGGGUGCCACCUGACACUGCUAGGACGAAAGCGUGGGGAGCGAAUGGG
rnacentral:rRNA from 1 species